rnacentral:misc_RNA from 1 species
ACCGAAGCUCAUAACCGCCUCCGGGCGUGAUGGGCGGCUGGUAUCCUCCUUCUGAGGGGUGUAUGGCGCAGCGUGGGCCGGCCUUCGGGUCGCGAAUUCCCAUUGUUGCGGCGGACCACUCCUUGGGCAACUCAGUGGGGGCAAUUGGAUAGCCCGUGGGCACCUUUGGCGGCUUCGGCCCCGGAGGUUACCCGGGCUGGGCAUUGGGCUUCGGUCCGUGUCCCGACCUCUUAACUAACCCUGACCCCCCUCUUCACGGAGGGUUGCCGGUGGUCCUUUGCCCUUCGGGACGGAGUGACCUCCCGGUUAAGAUAGUUACCUGGUUGAUUCUGCCAGUAGUCAUAUGCUUGUCUCAA